UGAGCAAUCUGCCCUUCUCUCUGGAAUAAGCGUUGGAAACGACGUCUAAUGCCGAAUACGACCUCCUUUCGCAUGAUCGGAGGUGGAAAGCUCCGGCGGAGAAGGAUGAGCUCGCGGCCUAUCAGCUAGUUGGUGUGGUAAUGGCCCACAAGGCGACGACGGGUAGCCGGCCUGAGGAGGGUGACCGGCCACACGUGGGACUGAGACACGGCCCAGACCUCCGUACGGGAGCAG
rnacentral:rRNA from 1 species